rnacentral:tRNA from 1 species
GGCUCAGUAGCUCAGUUGGUUAGAGUGCCGGCCUGUCACGCCGGAGGUCGAGGGUUCGAGGGUGGUAACAGGGGUUCGAUUCCCCUAGGGGUCACCA